GGGCGGUUAGCUCAGUUGGUUAGAGCGUUCCGGUGACAUCGGAAAGGUCGGUGGUUCGAAUCCACUAUCGCCCACCA
rnacentral:tRNA from 1 species